GUGAGUCAUCGAAUCUUUGAACGCACCUUGCGCUCCUUGGUAUUCCGAGGAGCAUGCCUGUUUGAGUGUCAUUAAUAUAUAUAUCAACCCUCACUUUGUUGAGUGGUUUGGAUGUGGGGGGUUUGCUGGCCUCUUAAUGGUUCAGCUCCCCUGAAAUGCAUUAGCAGAACAACCCUGUUCAUUGGUGUGAUAACUAUCUACGCUAUUGUGAAGGGAAGUUCAGCUUUCUAACUGUCUUUGGACAAUUCACAUUAAUGUGACCUCAAAUCAGGUAGGACUACCCGCUGAACUUAAGCAUAUCAAUAAGCGGAGG
rnacentral:rRNA from 1 species